GUUUAUAAGCUAGCUAGCUUGUAACAAUUCUUUGCAAAUUUGACUGGACUGUGCUGCAAAUAUCACUCGAAAUGAAAGUUCAAAACACGGUGAAUUUGCCAAGGUUUGGGAGAUAGAGGAUAAGUUGGUAAAACUAUUAUUUACAUUGUAUGUCCGUAUUGCGGAGAGGCCCAGGAAACGGUAAUGUAUGCUCUUUUUCAGUGUACUGAAGCUCGGAUGAUAUGGUUGAAAUCUGCUGAAAUUUGAAGUUGUUCAAAAUGAAGUUGUGAGAGAUUGAGGUUGUGCGUAAUUGAAGGUGUUUAAAGUUGAAAUUUUACGCGAAAUUGACGGCUAUGCACCAGUUCUCUCCCUGUUCGUGCUCUCCUUAAACAUAGACAUAUGAUAGAGGAUGAUAUGUGUCCAUGGUGUGGGUCGAAUCCUGAAACUCUCAGUCAUGCUUUCUUUGAGUGUGCUGCUGUUAGAGAUCUGUGGACUGAGGCUAAUUGCGAAAAGCUAGUCCUUACAAACUAUUUUUCUGACUUCGAGAAUCUGAUUGAAGCUUGGGGUAAAGAGAACGUGAAGCUCCAGCAAAAAGGCGCUGCUUUACUGUGGCUUAUUUGGGCUAGACGCAAUAACAAGGUAUUUAACAACAAUGGGACUCCCCACAAUACUGUUAUUGCUAGAAUGCAUCAGCUCGUUGAGGAUUAUAAUAAAUACAAUGAGAAUAUUUAUGGUUGCAAGAGUCCGAGCAAAAAUAAAAGCCCAAAAUGCUGGAUAGCACCUGCCCAAGGAUGUGUCAAAGUUAACUGUGAUGCCUCCUUGAGCUCUGAAGGCUGGAUUGGUCUUGGAGCUAUAGCUCGUGACCACCUAGGCAAUGUUCUCUUUGCUGGCACAAGAUGUGUGAAGGGCCACUAGUCGCUAGAGAUAGCAGAAUGCAAUGCUGCUCCAUUUGCUGUCAAACUCGCUAAGCAGAAUGGGUACAGGAACAUUAUUCUUGAGUCAGAUAACAGCGGUAUCAUCACAAAGCUGGCGCAAGAUGCCACUUAUCUCUCUAACUUAGAUUCAUUGCUGGAAGAUGACCCUGUCGAUUACCCUGUACAGGUUGCUGCAGGCUAUUCAAAAAUGCUGUGGGAUUAUAUGGAAUAUGCUGGACGAGUUCUUAAGCCACUGUCAGCAGCUUUUGGGAUGGGGAGUGAUCGCUGGAAUCCUCCUACAGCUGGCCACAUCAAAAUAAACUCAGAUGCACACAUAUCAGCAGGAAGAUGGAUGGGUUUGGGUGUGAUCUUGAGGGACAAUGCUGGCAGAAUUGUUGCUGCUGCUGCAACAAUGAGAAUUCAAGGUCGAUGGGAGGUGGAAAUGGCGGAAGUUGCUGCUGCGAGGUUUGGGGUUCAAGUGGCUAGGAAAUUGGGAUAUAUGCACAUAGAGCUGGAGUGUGAUGCAUAUUCUGUGGCUCGAAAAAUCGUCCAAGUGCUGAUGCUCAAAGGGAAAUUUUCAAUAACCCAAAUUCCUAUUUGACCAUGACAUGGGAAACAUUACAGGGACGUUGCUCAUCUUCUCGAAUAUUCGCAAAAGUUUUAAGGUGCACAUGAUGCACUCUUGCUUACAGCAACUUUUGGUUUUGCUCAACUCUAACUCUCUAAGAACUCCUGAGAAGCAUUUACAGCUGCAAGUAACAGAGCACAAGUAGCAUAGCAACAGUAGGCGGCAGAGCAGAAAUAGCAUAGCAGCAGGCAACAAAGCACAAGUAGCAUAGCAGCAGCUGCAAUAGUAGGCCAUGUUGGGGCAGCAGAAAGUGUUUUUUCUUUUAUUGAUUCUAAUGUUUUGCUUUUCUAUAUAUUGCUCAUUUGCUCUGAUUUGUUUGAUAAAUGCUCCAAAAAUACCUACAAAGGAUUUGCAAUAAAACAUCGAGCACCCCCUAGCUAAAGCGUGGCUGAACACGCUAAGGUUCAGCGUAAGAAACGUGAAUCAUUGGCUGACCAUGUUGAAGAUGUAAAGGAUUUGAGGCGCAUCCUACAGCUGGAGUUGGUGGAAAGGUCGGUGAGAAGAUAGUUUUGGUAAGAAACAAGAGGCUCCUACAGGUACAUAAUGUUCCAAUCAACCAUGAAGUCAAUAAGUAUAUCUUAAAAAAAAUUAGCUCAAACUUGUGUGUUAGUUACCAUUGAUGGCAAGGUUAGGUUGCUGUGACUAAUCCAGUGAAGCUGGAGGCAGGUCAUGUCAUUAGAUAUCUCCAAUCUAUGGGCAUCACAAGCAUCAUGAUAACUGGUGAAAACUAGGGUACUGCAAUAGCCAUAGGAAGUGAAUUGGUCUUAAUCAACUUUUUGCUGAAACAGGUCCAAUUGGAAAAGUUGGGAAGACAAAAAAAUAGAUUGUGUCUAAAAAUAAAUAAAAAAGACUCCAAAAGUGAAUAAAAAAGACUUUAAAGUAAACCUAUUAGCUCAAGUGGUAGAUCACUAUGCGAAUGCAUAGAAGUGUAGGUUUAAUUCCUACAUAGGUUAUCUUAAACAAUAAUAACAAACACUCUAAAGUUAUUCAAAAUAUCUCAAAAGUAGAAAACUAAAAAUAUUACAUUAAUAUAUGUCAAAAGUAAAUCAUAAUUACUCUACAGCAAACAAAUAGUGCUAUAAAGUAAAUAAAAAAGAAUCUAAAGUAAAUAAAAUAGACUUAAGCUAAACCUAUUAGCUCAAGUGGUAAAGCACUAUGCGGAUGUAUAGAGGUUUAGGUUCGAUUCCUAUAUAGGUUAUCUCUAAAAAUAUAUAAUACACACUAAAGUAACUCAAAUUUUCACAAAAGUAAAUAAAAAUAGCAAUAAAGUAACUAAAUUAGCUUUUAAAAAAUCAGAAUUUAAAAAAAAUUCAUACUUUGAAGUCAUCCUCCAAUAUAUCUCAAAAGUAGAUACAAAAUACUAAAAAGUAAAUCGAAAUAUUCUAAAAUUAAAUAAAAAAAAUGUCAAAAUGGAGUAAAUAAAAAAUAAUCUUAUAUGUAAUAAAUAAACCUACGUGGAAAUCGAACCCACAUAUUUUGUCCAUUGCACAAUGCUCUACCUAUUGAGCCAGCAGGUUAGUGUAUAUUAAAAAACCAAAG